ACCCACAGGGGCACCCGAAAAUAUCUCCUUCCCUUUCCACUCCUCAUCACCUCCGCUUUUGCGCUUUUCCAAGGGCUCAGCGACUCCGAGAUGGACACCGGCGAGCCGACGGGUACAGCGGCAGCGGCGGCGGGAGGAGAGAAACGGGCGAUGCUGCUGCGGCAGAUCACCGAGGAGGGGGGCUUCGCCUUCGUGGCCUCCGCGGAGAAGGCGGCCGCGGGGGACCUGCGCGCGGCGGAGGCGGCGCGGGAGAUGGCAUGGGAGCAGCUGCACUCGGGGCCGUGGAGCGCGGUGGAGCCUGCGUGGCGGCACGCCUAUGCGCUCGCUUGCCUCCACGUCGCGAGCCUCCGCGCCGGUGACGACCGCCGCGCGGCGCUCCGAGCGCUCGACAUGGGCCUCAUCAUGGGUGGCGACCUCCUCCGCGCAGAGCUCGAAGCAGCUAUUGCGCAAGUCCCUGCCAAUGGAAAACGCGAGGGCGAAGGCGACGGUGCGGGAGACGCCGGCAGAAACGUGGAGAGGUGGAGGGAAGGGCUCAGUAGGAAUCGAGACCUCGGCGAUGCGCUCAAAGUUCUGCCGGUGAAAUCCCUAUCUUGCAAGCGAAUCGAGCGGCGGACAUGCAUUUCUUUGGAGGCAUUUAUACAUGAUUACUUUUUACGUGAGUCCCCUGUUAUACUCAGCGGCUGCAUUGAUCAUUGGCCUGCAAGGACAAAGUGGAAGGACAUAAAAUACCUAGAGAGGAUAGCUGGAGACCGCACUAUUCCUGUCGAGGUUGGAAAAAGUUAUGUUUGUAAUGAGUGGAGGCAGGACCUUAUCACAUUUUCACAGUUUCUUGAGAGAAUGUCGUCACCUGAUUGUUCUGCAAACUUGACGUAUCUAGCUCAGCAUCCAUUGUUUGACCAGAUAAAAGAGCUUCGUGAAGACAUAAUUGUUCCUGAGUACUGUUAUGCUGGCGGUGGGGAACUCCAGUCGCUCAAUGCUUGGUUUGGCCCUCAUGGGACUGUGACACCAUUGCAUCAUGACCCACAUCACAACCUUUUUGCUCAGGUCUUGGGCAGAAAGUAUAUUAGACUCUAUCAUGCUUCCAUCUCCGAGGAUUUGUACCCUCACAUGGAAACUAUGCUAAGCAAUACAAGCCAGGUGCGUGGUCUGUGUCAGAUAACUAUGCAGUGAUUGGAACAGAUGUAUUUCUAGAUCAAUGUAUGGGUGAAAAAUAUUUGUCAGGCAAAGAAAAUAGAACUAGAUCUCUAGCUUCUAGUACAUAACUUUUUUUCUUUUAUCUGCCUUUUGUACUUUUCCGGAAAUUGCGAUGACACAGUUCCAUCAUGCCCAAAUUUGUUCCGAGAUCUGCUGUGAGCAACCUUGAUGCUGAGCAAGUUUGGUAGAUCUUGACAACAUUGAUGUUAAGGAAUUCCCAAGGACAGAAGAUCUUGAAUUCAUGGACAACAUAUUGGAGGAAGGUGACCUGCUUUACAUCCCACCAAAAUGGUGGCAUUACGUGAGAUCUCUUUCUACCAGUUUCUCUGUUAGCUUUUGGUGGCGCACGUCAAUUGUUCCUUCAUAGGGUUCAUGAUUUUAUUGUUUGGACCAUCUAUGAUGUUUCUAUCGUCAGGUGGUAGAAAGUUUUAGAGAAAAACUUAAUUGAACCCAUGUUUCAUGAUCCCCUAUUUGUGUGGGUAGCGUUGCUACAUUGGGUGUAUAUCAUUAUUUUUGUGACAAUGAUUUAGAUAUUUGACUGCUAGCGUACAAUUUACUAGCGGGUACUAGUGUGUUAUUGUUCUUACUCCUUCCGUUGCUAUGUACAUGGUGCACAUACGUUUUGAGGUUCAA